AGCGAACGCUGGCGGCAGGCCUAACACAUGCAAGUCGAACGAACCUUUCGGGGUUAGUGGCGGACGGGUGAGUAACACGUGGGAACGUGCCUUUAGGUUCGGAAUAACUCAGGGAAACUUGUGCUAAUACCGAAUGUGCCCUUCGGGGGAAAGAUUUAUCGCCUUUAGAGCGGCCCGCGUCUGAUUAGCUAGUUGGUUGAGGUAAUGGCUCACCAAGGCGACGUUCAGUAGCUGGUCUGAGAGCAUGAUCAGCCACAUUGGGACUGAGACACGGCCCAAACUCCUACGGGAGGCAGCAGUGGGGAAUCUUGCGCAAUGGGCGAAAGCCUGACGCAGCCAUGCCGCGUGAAUGAUGAAGGUCUUAGGAUUGUAAAAUUCUUUCACCGGGGACGAUAAUGACGGUACCCGGAGAAGAAGCCCCGGCUAACUUCGUG
rnacentral:rRNA from 1 species